UUCUGUAGGUGUCACAUUUUGAGGACUAUAAUAAAGGAGGAUACUGUGGGUGUUGGAGAGGACCCACUGAAAAAUGUGAGUGCACGAAAGGAUCUCACAGAUGAACAUGUGGCCCCUGACACUCCAGCCACCUCUUCUGCACCAGUCUCACCUCCAGCUGAGGCUCAGACGAACAAAUCAAAGAAGGCUUCCUGGUGGCGCAGAUGGCUUUUUU